CGGUUUAUUGCACAGUGUGCGAGUAAAUAACCUCAAGAAACUUAGCUAAAAAGGCCUCUAGUGCACUUAAAGUCACGCAAUGUCUGAUCGUGUCACGCUCUCAUUACCUACAACCAAUGUUCAAACACGCGCCUUCCGAAGUCAUUCCUUCAAUCCCCCUCCAACUAUUGCAUCUCAUCGCUCCAGACGAACUCUCAGUCUUCCGGCCCGAGAGAAACCGAUAAUUCCACCAGCUAUUGCGGAAACUUCCGAAUGUUUUCGAAUAGUUCACGACCAAUUUUCCAGCGAGCAGCAACCUUGUUUGAGUGGAAAUUGUGACGAAAUUGGUUGGUUUUCUCCUAUCGUUGGAUUUUUAUUGAGUCUUCUGCUGUUUGUAUGGGCAUGCCUGCUCUCUCUGACUGUGAACAAACAAGAUGUACUAUUGUAAGAACGCAAAACUGGCAUAAUUUGAUUUCACCUAACACCGUCAGCUCAUGAAUAUUGCAUUUCGCUAAUACUUGCAUUUCUAUGUAACGGAUAUUUUACAUAGAGCAUAGCGCGGGGAAGGGUGUGGGUGUGGGGUACUCCCUUAUCUGUUUAGCCGUUUUGGUCUCAAAUAGGGUAUGCUUUUCUUGCACUUUAGUCUUGAAUUGGGUAUGUUUUUUGGAAGAAGAUACUUUUUUCAGUAACAGGCAGGUCUGAAACAAGGUACUGAUUUAAGGGUCAGGUCUCAAAUAGGGUAUCGAAAUUAAUAGGGUAUCGAAUCAGUUUUGGUCAGGUCAUAAAUAGGGUAGGGAAAAUCACAAAUUUUGGUCUUAAAGGGAAGCGGGCCGUACACCCCUCCCCCAUUUUUUUUUCUGGGAGAACCCCCCUCUGGGCCCAAUAUGCGCUGGGAUGUGCUGCUGUUUCGUUUCUGAGCGAAAUGCACUGACCCCUCGUUGUCUGUUUCUUUAAACCUUUCUGUUUCCCAAACAAUUCAUCAAUUGAAUAUCUUCCGCUCUAUUUGACUGUUUGAGGAAAAUAACACCAAUACAAAUAAUAAUCAGUUGGACGUUCAACUUCAACAAGAAAAAUAUAGCAUAACUGUACCUUACUUCAAAGACAAAGUGAUGUAAGAGGCGGAAAAUUGUAUUAUUAUAUAAACCGACUCACGCUCCGUCCACACUGCGCCGGAGGAAUUUGAAAUCGGAGGUUUCACUCUGAAAACGCAUCAAAGG
rnacentral:lncRNA from 1 species